ACACCUAAAUGCAUGGAGGAAGUUAGCUAUUAACGACAACCAGCCACUAUUCUUAAACAUCCACGAUCUAACACGGAAGAAGGUAGACCGUUCAUUGGAAACUUAGUGGUUCCUCCAUCCUCAUGCAUCCACGAUCUGACAUGGGCUUUUAAUGGCGAUCAUUCCUAUCCUCAAAUUUCUCUCUUUGGCUCUCCUUUUUCACCCUCUUUUUCUUUUCUCUCCAUGGAUCUUUCUCCGAACAAAUCGUUCCAUCUGAUAAUUGCAGAUCUUGAUCCAUCCCAUUGAGACCAUAGAUUGAAGACAGAAGAUGGAGGAUUCCUCUCUAGGAGCCGGACUAAUUGCCGUAUGCGCUGUCUCCGGAGGCAUGGUUCUUUUUUCGCUCCAACUCCACAAAUGUCUCCUCUCCGAAUUCAUGAAGGAGAUUGAAUUCCACUUCCUUGGAACCAAGACACACAAAGCAAAAAGGAGAUCAACCCAGCACCAGAACAACGCGACAAACCCAUCCCGGAACAACAACAGAGCUCCCACGACAAGAAUCCCGAAGCCAGACAAAGGGCAUCAAGUUAAGAACUCUAACCAAUGUGCAAUGGAGGAUCGCGACCUCGAAUUGGAAGUGAUGCCAGUUAACAGACAAAUGUUGUACAGGGGGAUUUUGCAGAACAAACAUCUUAGAGGGCAUUUUGUACCUAGGCAUUCCUAGUAUAAAAUGAUUCAAUGUGAUGUGCGAUUGCCAUACGGGUGUUCACCAGAAAGCUGUCACGAAUGCCAAACCCUCGACAGCAUGGUGUUGAUCUCCCAGGACAGCUUUAAUCCACAAUUUUCGAACUACUCAACGGUCUUAAUAUCGAUAUCCAGGCAUUUGCACCAGCAAAAAUGUGGAUCUGAGCGCUAAUCUAGGUGACUGAAACUCAUUCACUCUUCUUUAUUUUAGACUUCUCCCCUCGCAACUGUCAAUGAACAGAAGUCUGUCGUUGCACCUUGCAGUGAUUGUAUGAAUUUAUCUUUGACUUGGGUUAUAGCUUAACGGGAAUUGUUUUUAUAUUCAA